ensembl:misc_RNA Metazoa_SRP Metazoan signal recognition particle RNA
GCUGGGAGCAGUAGUGUGUGCCUGUAGUCCCAGCUGCUUGGGAGGCUGAGACAAGAGGAUUGCUUGAGCCCAGGAGGUCGAGGCUGCAGUGAGCUGUGAUGGCACCACUGCAGUCAGCCUGGGCAACAGAGUGAGACCUUGUAUCAA